rnacentral:rRNA from 1 species
CCUACGGGUGGCAGCAGUGGGGAAUAUUGCACAAUGGGGGGAACCCUGAUGCAGCGACGCCGCGUGAGUGAAGAAGUAUUUCGGUUUGUAAAGCUCUAUCAGCAGGGAAGAAGAUGACGGUACCUAACCAAGACGACCCGGCUAAAUACGUGCCAGCAGCCGCGGUAAUACUUAGGGGGCCAGCGUUAUCCGGAUUUACUGGGGGUAAAGGGAGCGUAGACGGCAGGGCAAGUCGGGAGUGAAAGCCCGGGGCCCAACCCCGGGACUGCUUUGGAAACUGGCAUGCUAGAGUGCUGGAGAGGUAAGCGGAAUUCCUAGGGUAGCGGUGAAAGGCGUAGAUAUUAGGAGGAACACCAGUGGCGAAGGCGGCUUACUGGACAGUAACUGACGUUGAGGCUCGAAAGCGUGGGGAGCAAACAGGAUUAGAUACCCCGGUAGUC